rnacentral:rRNA from 1 species
UAACGAAUCUUCCGCAAUGCACGAAAGUGUGACGGAGCGACGCCGCGUGUGGGACGAAGUCCUUCGGGAUGUAAACCACUGUCAGGGGUUACCAAGUUCUGAGGAGCCCCAGAGGAAGGCACGGCUAACUCUGUGCCAGCAGCCGCGGUAAGACAGAGGUGCCAAGCGUUAGGCGGAAUCACUGGGCUUAAAGCGUGUGUAGGCGGAUUGGUAAGUACCUUGUGAAAUCCCACGGCUCAACCGUGGAACUGCUCGGUAUACUGCCUGUCUUGAGCCACUUAGGGGCUGUCGGAACAAACGGUGGAGCGGUGAAAUGCGUAGAUAUCGUUUGGAGCGCCAACGGUGAAAACAGACAGCUGGGAGUGUGCUGACGCUGAGACACGAAAGCCAGGGGAGCGAACGGGAUUAGAUACCCCGGUAGUCCUGGCCCUAAACGAUGUCGACUAGAUCGUGGCGGCUCUGACGCCGUCACGGUCGAAGCAAAAGUGCUAAGUCCG